rnacentral:tRNA from 1 species
CAAAGGGUAGUUUAAAUUAAAAUAUUAAUUUUGGGAAUUAAUGAUAAGAAUUUCUUUCCUUUGA